rnacentral:rRNA from 1 species
CCUACGGGAGGCAGCAGUAGGGAAUCUUCCACAAUGGGCGAAAGCCUGAUGGAGCAACGCCGCGUGGGUGAAGAAGGUCUUCGGAUCGUAAAACCCUGUUGUUAGAGAAGAAAGUGCGUGAGAGUAACUGUUCACGUUUCGAUGGUAUCUAACCAGAAAGCCACGGCUAACUACGUGCCAGCAGCCGCGGUAAUACGUAGGUGGCAAGCGUUAUCCGGAUUUAUUGGGCGUAAAGGGAACGCAGGCGGUCUGUUAAGUCUGAUGUGAAAGCCUUCGGCUUAACCGGAGUAGUGCAUUGGAAACUGGGAGACGUGAGUGCGGAAGAGGAGAGUGGAACUCCAUGUGUAGCGGUGAAAUGCGUAGAUAUAUGGAAGAACACCAGUGGCGAAAGCGGCUCUCUGGUCUGUAACUGACGCUGAGGUUCGAAAGCGUGGGUAGCAAACAGGAUUAGAUACCCUGGUAGUC